rnacentral:rRNA from 1 species
GACGAACGCUGGCGGCGCGCCUAACACAUGCAAGUCGAACGAGAGAGGAAGAGCUUGCUUUUCCGAUCGAGUGGCGAACGGGUGAGUAACGCGUGAGGAACCUGCCUCAAAGAGGGGGACAACAGUUGGAAACGACUGCUAAUACCGCAUAAGCCCACGGCUCGGCAUCGAGCAGAGGGAAAAGGAGCAAUCCGCUUUGAGAUGGCCUCGCGUCCGAUUAGCUAGUUGGUGAGGUAACGGCCCACCAAGGCGACGAUCGGUAGCCGGACUGAGAGGUUGAACGGCCACAUUGGGACUGAGACACGGCCCAGACUCCUACGGGAGGCAGCAGUGGGGAAUAUUGCACAAUGGGGGAAACCUUGAUGCAGCGACGCCGCGUGGAGGAAGAAGGUCUUCGGAUUGUAAACUCCUGUUGUUGAGGAAGAUAAUGACGGUACUCAACGAGGAAGUGACGGCUAACUACGUGCCAGCCGCCGCAGUAA